CUUUUAGAACCGUUUGCCCCUCCCCAGGGUCAGACACAGUGGCAGGAGAGCAGUGGAGGUCUUUGAUUGGUCAGGUGGUCUGUGAUUGGUCAGGAGGUCUAUGAUUGGUCAGGAGGUCUUUGAUUGGUCAGGAGGUCUAUGAUUGGUCAGGAGGUCUUUGAUUGGUCAGUAGGUCUAUGAUUGGUCAGGAGGUCUGUGAUUGGUCAGACGGUCUGUGAUUGGUCAGGAGGUCUAUGAUUGGUCAGGAGGUCUGUGAUUGGUCAGGAGGUCUAUGAUUGGUCAGACACAGUGGCAGGAGAGCGGGUCUCUGUGUGAGCUGGUGAGGACUUGGACUC